UGCCAGACUCCUACGGGAGGCAGCAGUGGGGAAUAUUGCACAAUGGGGGAAACCCUGAUGCAGCGACGCCGCGUGAGCGAUGAAGUAUUUCGGUAUGUAAAGCUCUAUCAGCAGGGAAGAAGAUGACGGUACCUGACUAAGAAGCCCCGGCUAACUACGUGCCAGCAGCCGCGGUAAUACGUAGGGGGCAAGCGUUAUCCGGAUUUACUGGGUGUAAAGGGAGCGUAGACGGCGGCGCAAGCCAGAUGUGAAAGCCCGGGGCUCAACUCCGGGACUGCAUUUGGAACUGUGUGGCUGGAGUGUCGGAGAGGCAGGCGGAAUUCCUAGUGUAGCGGUGAAAUGCGUAGAUAUUAGAAGGAACACCAGUGGCGAAGGCGGCCUGCUGGACGAUGACUGACGUUGAGGCUCGAAAGCGUGGGGAGCAAACAGGAUUAGAUACCCCGGUAC
rnacentral:rRNA from 1 species